rnacentral:rRNA from 1 species
UGGGGAAUAUUGGACAAUGGGCGAAAGCCUGAUCCAGCCAUGCCGCGUGUGUGAAGAAGGUCUUCGGAUUGUAAAGCACUUUAAGUUGGGAGGAAGGGCAGUAAGCGAAUACCUUGCUGUUUUGACGUUACCGACAGAAUAAGCACCGGCUAACUCUGUGCCAGCAGCCGCGGUAAUACAGAGGGUGCAAGCGUUAAUCGGAAUUACUGGGCGUAAAGCGCGCGUAGGUGGUUCGUUAAGUUGAAUGUGAAAGCCCCGGGCUCAACCUGGGAACUGCAUCCAAAACUGGCGAGCUAGAGUAGGGCAGAGGGUGGUGGAAUUUCCUGUGUAGCGGUGAAAUGCGUAGAUAUAGGAAGGAGCACCAGUGGCGAAGGCGACCACCUGGGCUCAUACUGACACUGAGGUGCGAAAGCGUGGGGAGCAAACAGG